rnacentral:rRNA from 1 species
CUGAUAGCUCAACUAUUAGGCUUCGGGGGAUACUGCCAGACUUGGAACCGGGAGAGGUAAGAGGUACGUACAGGGGUAGGAGUGAAAUCUUGUAAUCCCUGUGGGACCACCUGUGGCGAAGGCGUCUUACCAGAACGGGUUCGACGGUGAGGACGAAAGCUGGGGGCACGAACCGGAUUAGAUACCCGGGUAGUCCCAGCCGUAAACGAUGCUCGCUAGGUGUCAGGCAUGGCGCGACCGUGUCUGGUGCCGCAGGGAAGCCGUGAAGCGAGCCACCUGGGAAGUACGGCCGCAAGGCUGAAACUUAAAGGAAUUGGCGGGGGAGCACAACAACGGGUGGAGCCCUGCGGUUUAAUUGGACUCAACGCCGGACAACUCACCGGGGGCGACAGCAAUAUGUAGGCCAAGCUGAAGACUUUGCCUGAAUCGCUGAGAAGUGGUGCAUGG